GACGAACGCUGGCGGCGUGCUUAACACAUGCAAGUCGAACGAAGUGGCGGACGGGUGAGUAAGGCGUAAUCAACCUGCCCUUCAGAGGGGGACAACAGGAGGAAACGACUGCUAAUACCGCAUACUGAAGGAGGGGCUUGCGUCUGAUUAGCUAGUUGGAGGGGUAACGGCCCACCAAGGCGAUGAUCAGUAGCCGGGCUGAGAGGAUGAACGGCCACAUUGGGACUGGGACCCGGCCCAGACUCCUACGGGAGGCAGCAGGUGGGAAUCUUCCGCCAUGGACGAAAGUUUGACGGAGCAACGCCGCGUGAGGGAUGACGGCUUUCGGGUUGUAAAGCUCUUUUAAUCGGGACGCGGUACCGGAAUAGAAAGCCACGGCUAACUACGUGCCAGCAGCCGCGGUAAUAC
rnacentral:rRNA from 1 species